GAUGAACGCUGGCGGCGUGCCUAAUACAUGCAAGUCGAGCGAACGGACGAGAAGCUUGCUUCUCUGAUGUUAGCGGCGGACGGGUGAGUAACACGUGGAUAACCUACCUAUAAGACUGGGAUAACUUCGGGAAACCGUAGCUAAUACCGGAUAAUAUUUUGAACCGCAUGGUUCAAAAGUGAAAGACGGUCUUGCUGUCACUUAUAGAUGGAUCCGCGCUUCAUUAGCUAGUUGGUAAGGUAACGGCUUACCAAGGCAACGAUGCAUAGCCGACCUGAGAGGGUGAUCGGCCACACUGGAACUGAGACACGGUCCAGACUCCUACGGGAGGCAGCAGUAGGGAAUCUUCCGCAAUGGGCGAAAGCCUGACGGAGCAACGCCGCGUGAGUGAUGAAGGUCUUCGGAUCGUAAAACUCUGUUAUUAGGGAAGAACAUAUGUGUAAGUAACUGUGCACAUCUUGACGGUACCUAAUCAGAAAGCCACGGCCAACUACGUG
rnacentral:rRNA from 1 species